ACGAGAGACUGAGAAACGAAAUGCACCUCAUCUGCUCCAAGUUUAGUUUGACGCGAGCUCUAAUCUAUGUUUUAAGAAAAUAGAAGUGUCAAGUUCUUUCUGUUUAUCGUUUUAAUUUCCCUUUCGGCAUCAUAAAGACUGUUCAACCCUUAAUCAAAACAUAUAUUUUAAAAUUCAAGAGAUUUCCUGUACAAAGCCAACAAAGUAGUAACCUUAUCUCAUUUAUCUUUCGGUAAGGCGAAACAUGAUCUGGUCCAUAUAUAGAUCUGAUCGAGACAAGGAUUCUUAGAAAGGACAUUCUCUGAAGAAAGGCUUUUGAGGACAUGCAAUUGUAACCGUGGCUCGGAGUAGAUCUUUCUUGUUUAAAAGGCAACUUAGCAACUAGAUUGUUAAGCAUGGCUCUGCUGCUUAUCCUACUACAAGUAUCACUGAUGUGGCCACAAAGUGCGUAUUCUGGAGAGCAGAAAAAAGGCAACGAUGCACUAAAUCCGCAGUCUAGCUUGGAAAUCGAGGGAUUUAGAAAAAGGAUAACUUUGUCUGAUGCAGCCCUUCCACCGUCCGUCUCUAGGACGAAUUCCUGGAAAGGAAAACGAGAAGCAAUGUCUGAUGCAGCCCUCUCACCGUCCAUCUUUAAAAAGCCAGGGUUUGGGAAAAGAGAACUAGCUCAGUCUGAUUACGCUCCGCUUCCAGUCUAUGAUCUUCCACCGUCCGUCUCUAGGACGAAUUCCUGGAAGGGAAAACGAGAAGCAAUGUCUGAUGUAGCCCUUCCACCGUCCAUCUUUAAAAAACCAGGGUUUGGGAAAAGAGAACUAGCUCAGUCUGAUUACGCUCCGCUUCCAGUCUACGAUCGUCUGUAGACUUUAUUAUCCCUAUGAUGUACACCAGAAGAUAAUUUAGAUUAAGAUAGACCCUUGCAGUCACCAGAUAUAGAUAGAAACUUUAAAAUGCUUGUGUAAGACUUGAUUCUCUUUUAGCACAGUAAUGUAAUCUGCUUCUGUGGAGAUGUGAGAUAAAAAGUUUGAAAUACUCUG